rnacentral:rRNA from 1 species
AGAGUUUGAUCCUGGCUCAGAACGAACGCUGGCGGCAGGCUUAACACAUGCAAGUCGAACGAGAAGCCACUUUCGGGUGGUGGACAGUGGCAGACGGGUGAGUAACGCGUGGGAACGUGCCUUUCGGUUCGGGAUAACCCAGGGAAACUUGGGCUAAUACCGGAUACGCCCUUCGGGGGAAAAGAUUCAUUGCCGAAAAGAUCGGCCCGCGUCGGAUUAGCUAGUUGGUGGGGUAAUGGCCUACCAAGGCGACGAUCCGUAGCUGGUCUGAGAGGAUGACCAGCCACACUGGGACUGAGACACGGCCCAGACUCCUACGGGAGGCAGCAGUGGGGAAUAUUGGACAAUGGGCGCAAGCCCUGAUCCAGCCAUGCCGCGUGGGUGAAGAAGGCCUUAGGGUUGUAAACCCCUUUCAGCGGGGAAGAUAAUGACGGUACCCGCAGAAGAAGCCCCGGCUAACUCCGUGCCAGCCGCAGC